GACGAACGCUGGCGGCGUGCUUAACACAUGCAAGUCGAACGAGUGGCUAACGGGUGAGUAACACGUGGGUGACCUGCCCUGCAAUUCGGGAGAAGCCGGGGAAACUGGGUUUAAUACCGGCUAGUGUGGGAUGGGCCCGCGGCCUAUCAGCUUGUUGGGGGGGUAAUGGCUACCAAGGCGCGACGGGUAGCCGGCCUGAGAGGGUGGACGGCCACAUUGGGACUGAGACACGGCCCAGACUCCUACGGGAGGCAGCAGUGGGGAAUAUUGCACAAUGGGCGGAAGCCUGAUGCAGCCACGCCGCGUGAGUGAAGAAGGUUUUCGGAUCGUAAAACUCUGUUGUUAGAAAAGCGGUAUCUAACCAGAAAGCCACGGCUAACUACGUGCCAGCAGCCGCGGUAAUAC
rnacentral:rRNA from 1 species